AACUCCACUUCCUGCCUGGGGGAGGCACUUCGGGCCCUCGCCGGGAUUUCAGAAACCUGUUCGAGCCAUUCCUUUAUGGCUGAACGUUCUUAUUUUGUAAAUAUUUAUUUAGUUCUCUGAGGAUUCAGAACUAAUCACAGCCACUUCUCUUUAAUAAUAAAUGGUGAACUUCAAGUGCGGCACAAGUCAACCGACUAAUCAGUGCUCGCCUGGAGGUGCAAAACCAACAUGAAAGACCGAACAUUUCCUGUUCCAGCUCGCCGCGGCCGGGAAUAAAUUUGAACCAGGUGUGGAGAAAAGCUCGCCAGCGCUGGUUCUCCAACCGCUCUCUGAAACAGCGCAGCGGGCGUUUUCGGUGAUGAGCUUGGAGUGCCCCUCUGUGGAAGAAGAUGAAUGCUACAGUUGCUUCCUUACAGGACGUAACAUCAUCGUAAAUCAAGGAAGGCUAUACAAUGAAGAUAUUGCAGUGCCUUAUAUAACUGAAGAUUCCGACUAAAACUUCAAGCAGAGGUUGAUCUAGAGGCUCCAAUAGAGUCACCAGAAGUGUUAGUUUCUUCCCAUUUCUCUACUCUAUCUUUCCAGGCAUUGGCUUCACCCUAGGGGUGAAUGAAUAAAAUCACCAAGACUAUCUUAGCUGUAUGAAGAAGCUGUAUGAACUGAAUGUUCUCUAAGAAGGAAUAACAGAUGAAAGUGACUGAGUCAUUUGAAUCAAGAUAUUUCUUCAUGAAAUAAUCUGUAGAUUAAGCAGUCUUUAAAGAAAAAAAUACUUUCCUUAUUGGGAGCCUGUUGAGGUUCACAGUGGAGGGACCUGUUUUCUCUUUUGGUUUGUUACAGUAAUUAGCGUGGUAGUAAGAAGAGGCCGUGGUGAAUGCCAACACAUCGCCCAGGACUCACAUAUUGCACAAGACUAAUGUGUUAGGAGAAACCUUAAAGACGAGUUGAUCCUGCCUCUGUGGGGUACUGAGAAGUAACCAAGGCCAAAGAUGGGAGUGAACAUAAACUUCAUUUCUUGAGAACUAAAUAGACACUUUAAAAUGUGAAGGGGACUCAAGACUCUGCCUGCCCAGACUUGUUUAUUUGUCAAAAAACAAUACCUGCCAAUCAGCGUCUUGCACAGAGCUUCAAUCACUCCAGACCAGCCAGGCCCCCCAAUGAGGACUCUGUGGUGCAAUUUCAGAAAGUAAGCUCACUUUGUUCUGAUACCCACAGCUUCCCCUUGCCUGAAUAUGGUAUUUUCUGAACUGAGAUACACUAUGGCAAAGGAUACAUGGAAUAUUGUAGGAAAAAAUAACUAGUAUAUCAAGCUUAUGGUUUCACAAAGAUUAUUGUUUAGGAUGAGACUACAGCUGAUGUAUCCAUGGUAUUCCACCUUAUACUAUCCGUUUUUAACUUUAAGUAUAGGAUUCAGAAAUGCCUAUGAAUCUUCUACAGUCAACCUUACACUUGAAAACAAAUUUACACAUUGCUGCAUUCACAGAAAAUCUUUGAAUACACAGGAUAUGUAUGAUGGUUUAGGAGAAAAUUUUUAUAAAUUAAAAAAAAAUGUAGUGCUUGUUUUUGGAGAAAGAGAGAGAGAGAGAGAGCAAACAGGUAGGGGCAGAGAGAGAGGAGACAGAGAAUCUGAAGCAGGCUCCACGCUCGGAGCUCUCAGCACAGAGCCUGAAGCAGGGCUCUAACUCAUGAACCACAAGAUCAUGACCUGAGCUGAAGUCGGACGCUUAAGCGACUGAGCCACCCAGGCACCCCGAAAAUUUUUAUA